AACUUCAUUCUCAAAUUCUUUAAUAGUAGCUAAAUAAAUUUGCUUAAAAAACAGCAGUUAACAAAAUAUGAAAAUCGAAUAAACCAUUCUAUUUUCUCCUCUUUGAAUCUAUUUUAUAAGUUGUUUGCUUUUAAAUUUUAGUUUGGCCUAAAGAAGUUUGUGUAUUAUCCCUGCCAAUGCAAAACCAAACAGUGUCUCGUGUGAUACUAUAUUAGCUAGAAACCAAGGCAGCUACCAGGCUGCGUCAACGUUUGAGGCAGUGAGUUUCAUAUCCAGAGAGAAUCUAAUCUUUGACCCUAAUUGCGGAGGUUUGGUGAGUUUUGUAAAUUGUCUGUAACUUUUGGACACAUUCUUUGACAUUGCUCACUGAAAAAUGUAACUCAUAAAUUGAUUUUUAAUGUAAAGGUUAUAUUUACUGUGUGGAA
rnacentral:lncRNA from 1 species